rnacentral:rRNA from 1 species
GCCUGCUUUCUUUGCUGGCGACCGGCGCACGGGUGAGUAACACGUAUCCAACCUGCCCUUUACUCGGGGAUAGCCUUUCGAAAGAAAGAUUAAUACCCGAUAGUAUAAUGAUUCCGCAUGGUUUCAUUAUUAAAGGAUUCCGGUAAAGGAUGGGGGAUGCGUUCCAUUAGGUUGUUGGUGAGGUAACGGCCCACCAAGCCUUCGAUGGAUAGGGGUUCUGAGAGGAAGGUCCCCCACAUUGGAACUGAGACACGGUCCAAACUCCUACGGGAGGCAGCAUG